AUUGAACGCUGGCGGCAUGCCUUACACAUGCAAGUCGAACGGUAACAGGUCUUCGGAUGCUGACGAGUGGCGAACGGGUGGGUAAUACAUCGGAACGUGCCUAGUAGUGGGGGAUAACUACUCGAAAGAGUGGCUAAUACCGCAUGAGAUCUACGGAUGAAAGCAGGGGAACGCAAGACCUUGUGCUACUAGAGCGGCCGAUGGCGGAUUAGGUAGUUGGUGGGAUAAAAGCUUACCAAGCCGACGAUCUGUAGCUGGUCUGAGAGGACGAUCAGCCAGACUGGGACGGAGACACGGGCCAGACUCCUACGGGAGGCAGCAGUGGGGAAUUUUGGACAAUGGGCGAAAGCCUGAGCCAGCAAUGCCGCGUGCAGGAUGAAGGCCUUCGGGUUGUAAACUGCUUUUGUACGGAACGAAAAGCCCCGGGUUAAUACCCUGGGGUCAUGACGGUACCGUAAGAAUAAGCACCGGCUAACUACGUGCCAGCCGCCGCAGUAA
rnacentral:rRNA from 1 species